rnacentral:rRNA from 1 species
GACGAACCGAGCGAACGUUAUUCGGAAUCACUGGGCUUAAAGGGCGCGUAGGCGGGCCGGCAAGUCAGGGGUGAAAGCCCCCAGCUCAACUGGGGAAGUGCCUCUGAUACUGCCGGCCUCGAGCGAGGUAGGGGCGUGCGGAACUUCCGGUGGAGCGGUGAAAUGCGUAGAUAUCGGAAGGAACACCGGUGGCGAAAGCGGCGCGCUGGACCUCACCUGACGCUGAGGCGCGAAAGCCAGGGGAGCAAACGGG